UACGGAGGGUGCGAGCGUUGUCCGGAAUCACUGGGCGUAAAGGGCGCGUAGGCGGCCUGAUAAGUAGGGGGUGAAAUCCUGCGGCUUAACCGCAGGGCUGCCUUCUAAACUGUCAGGCUUGAGCACAGUAGAGGCAGGUGGAAUUCCCGGUGUAGCGGUGGAAUGCGUAGAGAUCGGGGAAGAACAUCAGUGGCGAAGGCGGCCUGCUGGGCUGUGCUGACGCUGAGGCGCGACAGCGUGGGGGAGCAAACAGG
rnacentral:rRNA from 1 species